rnacentral:rRNA from 1 species
UGGGGAAUUUUGGACAAUGGGCGAAAGCCUGAUCCAGCAAUGCCGCGUGUGUGAAGAAGGCCUUCGGGUUGUAAAGCACUUUUGUCCGGAAAGAAAUCCUUGGCUCUAAUACAGUCGGGGGAUGACGGUACCGGAAGAAUAAGCACCGGCUAACUACGUGCCAGCAGCCGCGGUAAUACGUAGGGUGCAAGCGUUAAUCGGAAUUACUGGGCGUAAAGCGUGCGCAGGCGGUUUGCUAAGACCGAUGUGAAAUCCCCGGGCUCAACCUGGGAACUGCAUUGGUGACUGGCAGGCUAGAGUAUGGCAGAGAGGGGUAGAAUUCCACGUGUAGCAGUGAAAUGCGUAGAGAUGUGGAGGAAUACCGAUGGCGAAGGCAGCCCCCUGGGCCAAUACUGACGCUCAUGCACGAAAGCGUGGGGAGCAAACAGGAUUAGAUACCCUGGUAGUCCACGCCCUAAACGAUGUCAACUAGUUGUUGGGGAUUCAUUUCCUUAGUAACGUAGCUAACGCGUGAAGUUGACCGCCUGGGGGAGUACGGUCGCAAGAUUAAAACUCAAAUAAAUUGACGGGGU